AACGAACGCUGGCGGCACGUUUUAAGCAUGCAAGUCGAAUGGCAGCAGGGGCAACUCUGUGAGAAUGGCGAACGGGUGAGUAACACGUAGGUGAUCUGCCUUGAGGAUGGGGAUAGCCUGUGGAAACACAGGGUAAUACCGAAUGAGCUGACGAGACUUUGGUUUUGUUAGUAAAGGUGCUACGGCACCGCCUUGAGAGGAGCCUGCGGCUGAUUAGCUAGUUGGUGGGGUAGAGCUUACCAAGGCGACGAUCAGUAGCCGGCCUGAGAGGGUGUACGGCCACACUGGAACUGAGACACGGUCCAGACUCCUACGGGAGGCAGCAGCUAAGAAUCUUCCGCAAUGGGCGAAAGCCUGACGGAGCGAUGCCGCGUGAUCGAUGAAGGUCGAGAGAUUGUAAAGAUCUUUUCUACAUGAGGAAUAAGUCUGGGAGGGAAUGCCCGGAUGAUGACGUUAGUGUAGGAAUAAGCCCCGGCUAAUUACGUGCCAGCCGCCGCGGUAA
rnacentral:rRNA from 1 species